rfam:Bacteroides intestinalis CAG:315 genomic scaffold, scf120
CGAUAGAAAAGGGGGUGCUAUAAAUAUAGCUGAGAUUAUACCCAAUGAACCUGAUACGGUUAGUACCGUCGAAGGGAAUUUUUCUUCUUAUCUUC